GGGCGACUAGCUCAGGUGGUUAGAGCGCCGUCUUCACACGGCGGAGGUCCACAGUUCGAGCCUGUGGUCGCCCACCA
rnacentral:tRNA from 1 species